CCCCGGCGAGGGGAGUGAAAAAGAACCUGAAACCGUGUACGUACAAGCAGUGGGAGCCUCUUUUAUGGGGUGACUGCGUACCUUUUGUAUAAUGGGUCAGCGACUUAUAUUCUGUAGCAAGGUUAACCGAAUAGGGGAGCCGAAGGGAAACCGAGUCUUAACUGGGCGUUAAGUUGCAGGGUAUAGACCCGAAACCCGGUGAUCUAGCCAUGGGCAGGUUGAAGGUUGGGUAACACUAACUGGAGGACCGAACCGACUAAUGUUGAAAAAUUAGCGGAUGACUUGUGGCUGGGGGUGAAAGGCCAAUCAAACCGGGAGAUAGCUGGUUCUCCCCGAAAGCUAUUUAGGUAGCGCCUCGUGAACUCAUCUCCGGG
rnacentral:rRNA from 1 species